UUCAGUUCAGGCUAGUUGGAGUUCAGUUCAGGCUAGUUGGAGUUCAGUUCAGGCUAGUUGGAGUUCAGGACCUCUCACUGUAACACCACUCAGACCAGAACAUUAGGUCCAACUGUAUAACACCACUCAGACCAGAACAUUAGGUCCAACUGUAUAACACCACUCAGACCAGAACAUGGUUCCUGUUAGGUCCAACUGUAUAACACCACUCAGACCAGAACAUGGUUCCUGUUAGGUCCAACUGUAUAACACCACUCAGACCAGAACAUGGUUCCUGUUAGGUCCAACUGUAUAAUACCACUCAGACCAGAACAUUAGGUCCAACUGU